AGUGAACGCUGGCGGUAGGCCUAACACAUGCAAGUCGAACGGCAGCACAGUAAGAGCUUGCUCUUACGUGUGUCGAGUGGCGGACGGGUGAGUAAUACAUCGGAAUCUACUUUUUCGUGGGGGCUAACGUAGGGAAACUUACGCUAAUACCGCAUACGACCUACGGGUGAAAGCAGGGGAUCUUCGGACCUUGCGCGAUUGAAUGAGCCUAUGUCGGAUUAGCUAGUUGGCGGGGGAAAGGCCCACCAAGGCGACGAUCCGUAGCUGGUCUGAGAGGAUGAUCAGCCACACUGGAACUGAGACACGGUACAGACUCCUACGGGAGGAAGCAGUGGGGAAUAUUGGACAAUGGGCGCAAGCCUGAUCCAGCCAUACCGCGUGGGUGAAGAAGGACUUCGGGUUGUAAAGCCAUUUUGUUGGGAAAGAAAAGCAGCAGGUUAAUACCCCGCUGUUCUGACGGUACCCAAAGAAUAAGCACCGGCUAACUUCGUG
rnacentral:rRNA from 1 species